GAUGAACGCUAGCUACAGGCUUAACACAUGCAAGUCGAGGGGUAACGAGAGGAAAGCUUGCUUUCCUUGUCGACGACCGGCGCACGGGUGAGUAACGCGUAUCCAACCUGCCCCCAACUAGGGAAUAACCUUGCGAAAGUAAGACUAAUACCCUAUAAUUUCCUCAGAUGACAUCUGACGAGGAAUAAAGAUUUAUCGGUUGUGGAUGGGGAUGCGUCUGAUUAGCUCGUUGGCGGGGUAACGGCCCACCAAGGCAACGAUCAGUAGGGGUUUUGAGAGGAAGGUCCCCCACAUUGGAACUGAGACACGGUCCAAACUCCUACGGGAGGCAGCAGUGAGGAAUAUUGGUCAAUGGGCGGAAGCCUGAACCAGCCAAGUAGCGUGCAGGAUGACGGCCCUAUGGGUUGUAAACUGCUUUUAUACAGGAAUAAAGUUAGCCACGUGUGGUUAUUUGUAGGUACUGUAUGAAUAAGGACCGGCUAAUUCCGUGCCAGCCGCCGCGGUAA
rnacentral:rRNA from 1 species